ACCUGUGACAAGGAAAACGUGACAGCGGCUGCGACUUUUGGUGUCCGACACAUCAAUGGAAUGCACAAGCAUGGAUUCAGGUUUAAGCAGCAGGAGGUCCAGAGCAGCAAAUAUCAACAGAACAAGAUUUUCUUGGGGUACCCAUUCAAGGUAAAUCCAUCCAUCCAUUUUCUUAGCCACUGAAACUCACCAGGGUUGCAGGAUUAUUGCUGGAGCCAAUCCGAGCAAUCUUCAAGGAGGAGGCAGUGUACACCCUCAACGGUCGGUGGCCAUCGGUGCUGAGGACCGAGGAGGACGUUCGUAUAAGUCUUGCUUAAGGACAGCAGUUUACGAGGAGGAACUUUGGGGCGUAAAAGAGGAAAAGAAGCCACAACUACUGGACGCUGUGUU